CUGAAGUCUCAUUGGUCAGAACGCCGUCACGUGGGCUCAUGUAGCCGCACAGGAGCAUGGGAAGUGUAGUCUCCGGCUGGUGACCGUGUGGCCCCCGCGCAGGUUGGCAGUUCCAUUACAAAAAGAAAAAGAAAGCAGUUGAAUGUUGGAGACCAUCCCCUGUGACAAAGUCAAGCGCUGCGCACAUAGGAGGACGGAGGCUCGGAGAAGCCAAGAAGAUGAGUCUCAGAGAGGUUAUGCAACUUUCCAGAAGCUCCCAGCCACUGAAUGGCAGAGUGCAGCUCUGAAUGUGUUUAACUGCAGAGACCGAUUUCCUGGUGCCUUUAGAUGCCCCCUUCCCCCCCUGCCCCGUGCUCCGGCCUAAUUCUUUCAUGCUGCACAGUCACCUGCAGCCAACCUCUCAAGGCGAGUGUGCCUCUGGUUGUCCCGAGGACUACUGCCCAAGGAGAGAUAGGGACACACAAGGUGUAUGUGCAGGGGGUGGGCGGUGGGCACUGUGUGCCUGCCAUACAGACGCUGCAGUACCGGGCGUGCAUGCUCACACUCACCCACCCUCUCCGUGCUUAUCAGCCUGAGCCAGGGUGUCAUGCUCCUCGUGCCCCAUUGCAUCAUGGGUGAGGUCCCCAUCCACCCACCAGGUGGUUGCCAAACUCCUCGUGAUAGAAGGCCAUGGUGAGGGGCACUAAUUCAAAGGAAGAAGCCCUUGAGAGAGCUCUGGGUUUUGUUCACAGCAUUAAGACAGCUUCAGAGAAAAGCCUUUAUUGCAGACAGAAGAAUAUUAUUUCAGAGCUAUUCCCCUGGCCCAUUACAGCAAAAUAAUAGAGCUUUAGUUUCUAUAUAUUUGUCAUGCUUAGCGCACAUGUAUUUCAAGUAUAUUUGACAGCAUAUAAAAUUGAGGUGAAAUAUUGCAAAAUUGGCCAAUUUUUGUACAUUUUAAAUGUAUUUCCUUUAUUUGUUACACUUAUUUUACAUAUCUACACAAUCCAUCUUUGGAACUGGAGAAGCAGUAAGUGAUGAAUCGAUACCGAGAUUUUCCAUGGCGAAGAGACUCUCGUUGGACGUGAAAUUUCCAUUUUGCCAGGCAACUCCUGGUUCUGCCUACAGAGAGAAAGGGCCGAGUUCCUUCAUCUUCCUGGGCGAUUGCAUCUCUCAGGGGCCAGGAGCCGCAGUUAUAACGGAGGCAGUGUCUCAGAACCCUUCUCAUCUUGGCUGGGGCUGAGCACCAGGCCUUGUCUAAUGAUAACAGGAAGUUUUAUUGGUCUGAGCAGGAGGUCUAAUUAGAUCAAUCUGUAGGUGAGAGAGAGAUCUCCUCAGCAACCCAGGCAGAUGGAAGCGUCUUCACGUUCAACUUACAGCUCUCAAAUUCACACCCAACCGACAGGCAGAGGGAGGCAGAAGUAUGGAAGACCACACCGGGCAUUUUUUAAUAAGGAUUUUAUUCCUUUUAGAGACAGAGGGGAUGGAGGGAGGAACAGAGGGAGGGGGACCAGCAGGCUCCGUGCUGAGUGCAGAGGCCGACGUGGGGCUCGAUCCUCAUGUCCCUGAGAUCAUGACCUAAGCCAAAAUCAAGACUUGGAUAUUUAAUGGGAUGAGCCACCCAGGUCCCCCCAAGCAGGACAUUUUUGUAGCCCUUCCUUAUCUUCUGAUAGGAUGGUGCGGUGUUCACCACUUUCACCCCUCACCUGCUGGUCAGAGCUCAGUCACCUGACCUACCAAGUUGCAAAGGGAGCCAGGAAAUACAAUGUGGCAGGUGACCCCUCCCUAACCACCGCACCUCCCUAUCUAUGCAAGGGGUGUGGAGUGUGGGUUAAAGAGCUCACCUCCCUGCCAAUACAAACAGUCACAGUGACACUCUAUGAGCGCACAAUAGGAGAAGCCCAAGGGUCUGUGGGCGCCCACUGUUUCCACCACCUGUUAUCCUGUAAGAAACCACUCCCACGAUUUAGUAGAUUAAAAUCCAAAUUUAU